rnacentral:rRNA from 1 species
CACAGGUGCUGCAUGGCUGUCGUCAGCUCGUGUCGUGAGAUGUUCGGUUAAGUCCGCUAACGAGCGCAACCCUCGCUGUGUGUUAUAUGUGUCACACGGGACUGCCGGUCUUAAGCCGGAGGAAGGUGGGGAUGAUGUCAAGUCAGCAUGGCCUUUAUAUCCUGGGCUACACACACGCUACAAUGGCCAGCACAGUAGGUUGCUAAGCCGCGAGGUGGGGCCAAUCCUAAAAGCUGGUCUCAGUUCGGAUUGCAGGCUGCAACUCGCCUGCAUGAAGUCGGAGUUGCUAGUAACCGCGCGUCAGCUAUAGUGCGGUGAAUACGUUCCCGGGCCUU